UACGGGGGGGGCAAGCGUUGUUCGGAAUUACUGGGCGUAAAGGGCGCGUAGGCGGCCUUCUAAGUCGAACGUGAAAUCCCCGGGCUCAACCCGGGAACUGCGUCCGAGACUGGAAGGCUCGAAUCCGGGAGAGGGAUGUGGAAUUCCAGGUGUAGCGGUGAAAUGCGUAGAUAUCUGGAGGAACAUCGGUGGCGAAGGCGGCAUCCUGGACCGGUAUUGACGCUGAGGCGCGAAAGCCAGGGGAGCAAACGGG
rnacentral:rRNA from 1 species